GAUGAAACGCUAGCUACAGGCUUAACACAUGCAAGUCGAGGGGCAUCAUGACUGAGGUUUACCUUAGUUGAUGGCGACCGGCGAAUGGGUGAGUAACACGUAUCCAACCUGCCCGUUAUGGAGGAUAGCCCUCCGAAAGGAGAAUUAAUACUCCAUGUUGUGCUGAAUUCGCAUGUUUUCGGCACUAAAGAUUCAUCGGUAACGGAUGGGGAUGCGUCCGAUUAGGUAGUAGGCGGGGUAACGGCCCACCAAGGCGACGAUCAGUAGGGGUUCUGAGAGGAAGGUCCCCCACAUUGGAACUGAGACACGGUCCAAACUCCUACGGGAGGCAGCAGUGAGGAAUAUUGGUCAAUGGGCGAAAGCCUGAACCAGCCAAGUAGCGUGCAGGAUGACGGCCCUAUGGGUUGUAAACUGCUUUUAGGCGGGGGUAAAGUGGCGGACGUGUUCCGCCUUUGCAAGUACCGCCAGAAAAGGACCGGCUAAUUCCGUG
rnacentral:rRNA from 1 species